rnacentral:rRNA from 1 species
UACGUAGGGUGCAAGCGUUGUCCGGAAUUAUUGGGCGUAAAGAGCUUGUAGGCGGUUUGUCGCGUCUGCUGUGAAAUUUCGGGGCUCAACCCCGAACUUGCAGUGGGUACGGGCAGACUAGAGUGUGGUAGGGGAGAUCGGAAUUCCUGGUGUAGCGGUGAAAUGCGCAGAUAUCAGGAGGAACCCCGGUGGCGAAGGCGGAUCUCUGGGCCAUUACUGACGCUGAGGAGCGAAAGCGUGGGGAGCGAACAGG